AUUGAACGCUGGCGGCAGGCCUAACACAUGCAAGUCGAACGGCAGCGGGGGGAAGCUUGCUUCCCCGCCGGCGAGUGGCGGACGGGUGAGUAAUGCCUGGGGAGCUGCCCAAUCGAGGGGGAUACCAGUUGGAAACGACUGCUAAUACCGCAUACGCCCUGAGGGGGAAAGGUGGGGAUCUUCGGACCUAUCGCGAUUGGAUGCACCCAGGUGGGAUUAGCUAGUUGGUGAGGUAACGGCUCACCAAGGCGACGAUCUCUAGCUGGUCUGAGAGGAUGACCAGCCACACUGGAACUGAGACACGGUCCAGACUCCUACGGGAGGCAGCAGUGGGGAAUAUUGCACAAUGGGGGAAACCCUGAUGCAGCCAUGCCGCGUGUGUGAAGAAGGCCUUCGGGUUGUAAAGCACUUUCAGCGAGGAGGAAAGGGUGGCAGCUAAUACCUGUCAUCUGUGACGUUACUCGCAGAAGAAGCACCGGCUAACUCCGUGCCAGCCGCCGCCGUAAAAC
rnacentral:rRNA from 1 species